AACGAACGCUGGCGGCAUGCCUAACACAUGCAAGUCGAACGGGAUCCUAGCUUGCUAGGUGAGAGUGGCGGACGGGUGAGUAACACGUGGGAAUCUGCCUUUUGGUUCGGGAUAACCGCGGGAAACUGCGGCUAAUACCGAAUGCCCUCGUGAGAGGAAAGAUUUAUCGCCAGAAGAGGAGCCCGCGUCCGAUUAGGUAGUUGGUGGGUAAAGGCCUACCAAGCCGACGAUCGGUAGCUGGUCUGAGAGGAUGAUCAGCCACACUGGGACUGAGAUACGGCCCAGACUCCUACGGGAGGCAGCAGUGGGGAAUAUUGGACAAUGGGGGCAACCCUGAUCCAGCAAUGCCGCGUGAGUGAUGAAGGCCUUAGGGUUGUAAAGCUCUUUUGCCAGGGAAGAUGAUGACUGUACCUGGAGAAUAAGCCCCGGCUAACUACGUGCCAGCAG
rnacentral:rRNA from 1 species